CUGGGGCGCCGGGCGCGGGCCCGCCGGGGCUGGCCCCUGCCCGCGCCCCCCCGCGCCAAGGUCGGCCGCCUGCUCCCGGGCGCCCCCGAGGCGCAGCGGGAGCCGAGACCCCGGCUGGGCCGCGCGGACUUGCUUCCCGCGGCCCGGCGGGGCGGGGGUGGCCGGCGCGGGCUCCGCGACCCCGGGCAGCCGCGACCGUGGGCGGCGGGUCCGGUGGGAUGGGCGGCGCGCGCGCGGCCUGUCCCUUCCCCGGGCUCAGGCCACGCGGGCCGGCCGGCGGGCGGGCGGGCGCUGCGCCUCUGACAACGUGUCGCCGGAACGCUCCUACCCCAUCCGCCUGCCUUACAUGGCUCGAAAGUAAAAAUAAAAAGAAUUACGAUGCGGGCGAGGCUUGCGAGGGGGAGAAGAGAUUCCACGUCUCCCCAACUACGGCGUCCUGGCGGGACUCCCGGGGCCGUCCCCAGCCCUCCUCCAGCUGCCACCUCGUGCCCCGGGAGGAAAGGCACAAAGACACCGCAGCCUCCCGCCCAGAGCCCUCAAGAACCGCACCGACAACUCGCAGGGCCGCCACUGCAAGUCGUUAGGUGCCUCCAAAGAUCGGCCCCCCCGCUGCUGCAGCCACACCAAGCAGCGGCCUUUGGAGAGGAUGAAAGGAGAGUCCAACCGGACACCCUGGUGGUAACAUAAAUAAAAAUAUGAUAGCACACCACCCCCAGAGCUCAAAAGGACAGGAUGUGAGCACAUGGUUACUGCACAAGGACUGUGUCUGAACCAGCCAUCCUCUGUGAACAAAAACUUAAAGACGCAGCAAGCUUUGGGCCAGGAGCAGCCCUGAGCAGAGGGCGGAGUACGGUGAGUGCAGCAAGAGAUGUGAGAAGGUAUUAUCAGCCUGAAGAGGAAGUGGUGGACCAGCCCUGCCUGAUGUGGAGAGUGGGAAGGAAGAGAUACCCAGGACCACAACUGGAAGACCCUCCAUCUCUUGGGAUGUGAAAGAAAACAAUCAAUUCUUCUCCUUAAGACGGUCUUUUUAAAGCAAAGGAAGAGCUCCGAAUUGGGUGAACUCGCUGGGAAACACUACAUAGGUUAAAAAUAUUACCAACACAUUUCCCUGCUGUACAAAGUUCGUUUAUGAAGAUAAGCAACUUGCUCAAUGUCUUACGACAGCCAAACCUGAAGUCUCUUCUCCUCUACCGGGUAGUGCAGCUCACCCACACAUUCAGUUUUGAAACCCCUACUCCUUCCAAAAAUAGCAUCUCUUGCGCCUUUAAUAUUGUGAUUCAGAUGCAAGCAAAACGUGCCCAUCAAGUGUGAGGCAUGAGUGCCUGUGAACGCUCCAUCAUAAGGGGUGGAGGCUGGGAAGGAAGUGGCUACGUGGAUUGCUGUCUUUCUGCGGGUGCGAUCAACGGCACCGCAUUUCUCGGCACUCAAAGACAUGUGACUCCGACUGGCUCCAAAGAUUUGGCCCCUAAACAACCAGGCGUCCUUUUUAAGUUGGCAUUUCUUCUGGAGAGGAAUACUGAGCAUCUUUCUUCCAUGCCUCACACAGUGCUGGGCCAGCUGUCUAACAAUAUGGAUCCCGGAAGGGGGUGCUGCCCACGUUGGUGAUGGCAGCCAUCAGUGCCUGUUGCUCACAGCUAACGUCAAAGAGGCCUCAGCACGGGGGUCCAGGCGGUUGGCUGGGACUCCCCGGGCAAGCAUCCAUGCACCGAGAGUGCCAGCAGAGGAGACCCGAGGGCCGAGGUGGGCAUGCCGCAGAGUCCUGGGCUUCCAGAUGGAGUCCAGUCCAAGAGAGUGGACGUCAGCGCUCUCCGGAGGCUGCCCAGGCCAAGUUCAAAGGGAGCGAUGAAUGUCAUGACAUCCGUUCCAAAGAAAUCCCACCUGCUAUUGGCGUGCCCAGGCUCAUCUUCCCCACAUGCCAGCCCCCCCUCCCCAACAGGUCUCCAAGGUCACGGUGAGGAGGCAGCUGCAACCAUUUGCUUUCACUUAAUGAUCUGAACUGGCAAGACGUAGAGAUGGGGAACAAGCAAUGGCCAUGCCCAAUGAUGUGGACCCUCCAGUUGGCUGAGCUGCUGAAAGGUCAUCUUGUCGACUUCUUUGUAGGAAAAACGUGGGUUCUCUUUGGCCUUGGGAAUCUGGCCAGGCAGAUUCGCUGGAAUAAGUUGCUUCGUCCACGCACACCCACACCACGUGGAUAUUGAGGACUGUGACAACACAAACCUACUCUGACGCUCCCUGCUCCCUCCAAACUCCAGUGGCAUCUCCUUGCCUGAAACACCUGCCACCACGGGACAGCCUGGCUCAGCCACUCCACAAGGACUCCCUAGCUUGCUGCUACUGAAGAACCUGAAUAUCAAACCAAGCACAAAGGGAAUCCUACACAGGAGUUGCUAGGGGGAAAAGAAAAAAAGCACACUCUACUUCAUUCUCCCUGGCAGACGCAACUGAAAGAUUUUUUUAAUGCCAGAAAACCUCAUUUAAACUUGGGGUGCAAAAGGCAUCUGAAACGUGAGAGUCCCAGGGCCGGCACAGGGAGAGAAGGGGAAGGUUUCAACGAAACACAAAAGCAGCACAGACCUGAACGGGGAAACAGGCUGCCCGACAACAAGGCAGCCAACUGCCAAACUGUCAUUUUGCUCGGCGGCUAAACAGAAGGCUCGAGUAAUGACAACCACAAAACUCAUUUAAAGUCUGAAAAGGUGACUAAUGAGCUCAUUCAUGCUGCCUAUAAAUUAUUCACUACAAGACUGAUCCCACUCAAGACAAACAGUAAAGUAAACUUUAAACACAGACACCGCCGGCCUCCAAAGUAGAGCGAGUUAUGUCUGUAAAACUUUUCACAAUGAGGAAUACUUGUCUCUCCCUCCGUCCAUUGUCACAUUCAUUCUUCUGUUUACUUUUUUUUAACUGCCUUUAAUCAAGUUUAAGCAGACACAGCUGUUACACAUUUAUUUCUCUGUUGAGUUUUUUCCAUUAGUUAUUACGAGCAAUCAUGAUGCUCUAAAAAUAGCAGCAAAUUAUAUUCUCUCGAAAUUGAAGGCUGACCUUAAAAUGAAGCCCAGGUCUUCGGAAAGAAUAUUCAUAUGCACAUGUUGGGCGAGUGACUGCGCUGCACAAAGGCGAAACCAAAAUGCAUUUUCCACUCUUGGAGAGGUUUGCAAUCCGCUUCCAAAUUUCCUGAGGUUCUAGUGGAAACUGGUUGCUUUAAAAUCUAGCAAGACAGAACCUGCUUCCAACGGUCAUGUUUUGGUGGAGAUUUUCAUGAAAACUCACCAUGUUAAAAGAAUAAAAGGGGAAAUGUCUCAUUUAGGCUGUUGAGCACAGAUAAACGCAGCAGCAGGUUUGUUGGAAACCCACCACAUUGCUGCAGACUGCUUUCGGUUUCCUGUUUAAUAUUAAAUAAAGAA